UCCAUCUCACAUUAUACAAAUAUACCCCCGAGCAUGACAUACAAUUCAAAAAAUAAAACAAAAGCCCAGCACAUGGGUUUAGGGCAAAUCAUUUCACCCUCCACAAUCGCCUCCAUCUGGUUUUAGGGCAAAUCAUUUCAGCCUCCCCAAUCGCCUCCAUCUCUCCCACGCCCCCUCUCUCUCUCUCAAAACCCAUAUACUUCAGUUUAUCUAUCUGUCUGCAAGAAUCAAAAGUUCAAAACCUAAUACCUAUAUCAAAACCCAUAUCCGCAUAUCAUUUCAGAUUGUUCAAAAAAUCAAAACCCAUAUCUUUCAGUUUCCAUCGCCCGCUGUUCCACUUCGGGUUCGCCGUUCGUCUCUCAACUCUCAAGCUUGCCCCCCUCUCUCUCUGCAACUGCUAACUUGAUUUGAAAGGCUAAUUGGUAAAUUUGGGUUGAACUUGAACAAGCUGAAGGCCCUUAUAAUUGUUACAAUUACAGCAUCCUACCAUCUCUCAGAGUGCUUUUAUCACUUCAGACUCUAGUAUAAAGCACAACAAAUUGAAUCAAUUGAUAUUCAAGAUCAAAAGAUAUUGAUGAGUGCAAAGGUCCAAAGAAGAAUGUUUGUCCAAAGGGUUCUCUUUGCAACAACACAGGAGGUAGCUACUCAUGCAUGUGCCCACCUGGUUUCUACAGCAUCCAGGGAAAUGGAAUUGGAUGCACGUGAAGGCAUUGGAAUUGCUAUUGGUAUUCUGGUCUCAAUUGCUAUUGGUAUAUGGUGGCACCGGAAACUUGUGAGAACUAAGCUGAAGAGAGACAUUCCUUAACCCGAUCAAUCCACUUCCCACCAAAGCCAAACUCUUCUUCUUCAAUUGUAGCAAUUGCGUAAGGGUAACUUUGACUCCCCACGCGGUAGCUGUCGGAGCUACUGAAUCAAUGCGUGCUCUUUCGCACUUCUCAAUUUUUUCAAUUCUGCUGCCACUUCUGUUUUGCUUGGCCUUUUCUUCGGAUUCGUUUUUAGGCAUCUCAUUACAAGGUUAGCAACAACAUGAAUGUCCUCCCCCUCCUCUCGGUACUGACAACUUGUGCGUCCAGAAUGCAAGACAGAUUAUUCUCUUCCAUGGACAAUUUAAAACGUUCGACAAGACCUUCAGAUGAUGCUUUAGGAGUUCAGCAAGUUCAGCAAGAAAUACUCCGAAGGCAUUGAUAGUAGUGAGGAUCCAAAUAAUCAACUGUGCCUUGCAUCUCUGUUGUCAAAUGAGUCUUGACUCAUUUGACUACAGAACAGUUGAUUAUUUGGAUCCAUCGAACAAUGCAACUUACAGAUAAAAGUGAUAAGUGAUGUUUAUGCAUUUGGAGUAGUUCUUGCUGAACACCUAACCGGAGGGGAGGUCAUCUCUUCUAAAGCAUCUUCUGAAGGUCUUGUCUUGUCGAACGGUUUAAAAUUGUCCAUAGAAGAGAAUAAUCUGUCUUGCAUUCUGGACACACAAGUUGUCAGUGAAGGCCAAGGGGAGGGGGAGGACAUUCAUAUUGUCGCUAACGUUGUAAUGAGAUGUCUAAAAACGAAUCCAAAGAAAAGGCCAAGCAUGACAGAAGUGGCAGCAGAAUUGAGAAGUGCGAAAGAGAAAGCAUUGAUUCAUCAGAGUAGGUUUGACAGCUACCACAUGGAGUGUCAAAGUUCCUCUUACGCAGUUGCUACAAUUGAAGAAGAAGAAAGCUACAAUAUGGUGAGUGAAAGGCUUUAUCACGAAAUUGAAGAAGAAACAUGAAAUGCUGGAAAGAAUUAGUAGACUUGUAUUCCUUAAUGUAUUGCUAACAAAUUAUUAGUGAAAAUAUUAUGAUUGAAUUGUGUUGAGGGAGAAUGAGUAGACUUGUAUUACUCAAUUUAUUGCUAACAAAUAUUAUAAGUGAAAUAAUAUGAUUGAAUUGUGUUAAAA